rnacentral:rRNA from 1 species
UGGGGAAUCUUGGACAAUGGGGGCAACCCUGAUCCAGCCAUGCCGCGUGAGUGAUGAAGGCCUUAGGGUCGUAAAGCUCUUUCGCCUGUGAAGAUAAUGACGGUAGCAGGUAAAGAAACCCCGGCUAACUCCGUGCCAGCAGCCGCGGUAAUACGGAGGGGGUUAGCGUUGUUCGGAAUUACUGGGCGUAAAGCGCACGUAGGCGGACCAGAAAGUUGGGGGUGAAAUCCCGGGGGCUCAACCCCGGAACUGCCUCCAAAACUAUUGGUCUAGAGUUCGAGAGAGGUGAGUGGGAAUUCCAAGUGUAGAGGUGAAAUUCGUAGAUAUUUGGAGGAACACCAGUGGCGAAGGCGGCUCACUGGCUCGAUACUGACGCUGAGGUGCGAAAGUGUGGGGAGCAAAACAGGAUUAGAUACCCCUGGUAGUCCACACCGUAAAACGAUGAAUGCCAGUCGUCGGGGUAGCAUGCUAUUCGGUGACAC